CAUGACUUGCAGUCACACCCAGACCCAUGAUGAGCUGACUGGCCAGUCUUGAGAACAGAAGGCAAUCCAGAUAGGCACAGCAGAAGGGUGAAGGUUGGCUCCCUCCUCUUACCGGAUCACCACAGUGAUAAACAAGCCAGCAAUCACCCUGGUUUCUCAACUGAGGUUCCAGCUUGAGCACGUGAACUGUUCCAGUCCAAUGCCUGAAAACCUAACCUUUUGAGUCAUUUAACCAGUGUUUUUGUUGUACAUCUGUCUGUCUUGGUUGCGUCUGACCUCUGGGAUGAUUGCAAUAGAAAAAACAUUCAAUUUUUCUUUCUUUCUUCACUAUGACUCAACAUCCUUCUCCUCUCAGGGGUUCAAGAGAGCUACUGUGUGACAAUGCCUGGUCUGGACAGCCUGGCUGCGGUGCUUUCACCUCACCUCCUGAACACCUCUGGUCUUCUCCCAGAUCAAUCAGCUCAGGCAUUGCUGACAGAAUUACAGCCAUUGAUGGUGUUUACUCCAAGC